UUUUAUGUUGUAAUCUAUGCAUUUUCUCCUCCUGCCUUAAUGAUUACCCUUAUUUUUUUUUAAUUGUCCCCUUGUAUUUAUGGUGCACCUGUGUUGCCUUGUUAUGAAAAUUAAAUGUUGUUUACAUGAGAUGAGAAAGGUUUUCCAUUUCUACUUCUUCACUGUGGUCAUCACAAGCUAGGUUCAUACACUUACCAUCUAAGCCUGCAUGUUCACAUGUGCAUAUGUGUGUGCACACACACAUAUGCACACACACAUCGUGUUUGCUAUUUUACAAAUCUAGAGUAAGACCCAUCAACGCAGUUUUUUGCUUUUGUGGAAAUGAAUCUUUGAAUCUCAGACCAGAGAGCCAUGGAGGAGCUGUCUCAGCAAAAGAUAAAGAGCAGGAUCUUUGUUCUUCUAAAUCCUUAGUUCCUUGGAUGAUACUUUAAACUCUCUCCCACUUCUGCUUGCACCGGGAUUACAACAGCAGAAGCCCAGAGAGAUGUCAAGCGGCUUAAAGGAAAUUGUAUGUAGUGGAAAAUUCUUUUUUUUAUUAAAAGCUAUGUAUCUUUCUUAUCUUUUUGAAUAUACGGCUGCUUCUGGCUUGCCUCUGUGAAUCCACACAGCUGAUCGAAUCUCUGCCUCAUUGUGCUCACUUAUUAAAAGCUGACCUCCAAUAUCAGCCAUAGGUGAUUCCUACAUCUAGGGACAGAGUCCUACUAUAAUAAUUAUGGCAGGAGGUCAGGAUGCAGCCUGGGGGCAGGAGAGCAGUCAGCCUGAAGCACCCCAAAGCCUGACGAUCCCCUCACUGCUGUCUUUCUCAAGGAGACUGGAGGUUCCUACCUUUCUCUGAGCUAACUCGUGUACCUAUGUUUUGCUAUUUAAUUUUUACGAAAGUUCUAUGACAUAGGUGUUAUCAUUCUCAUUUUACACCUUAAAAAUAUGAGUUUCAAAGAUGCUCAAUUCAUGUUAACUAGAGGUAGACCAAGGAUACAAACCUACAUGUUUGACCCCAAAACUUACACUCUUCUGUAAUGAUGCUUUUAAGAAUGGGAAAAAUUGGCGAAUGGGACCAUCAUCAUUAUGUUAAGGUAUAGACAUUCAGUUUGGGGCUUUCACAGACUCAAUUGCUAGAGCAAAUAAAGUACAUUUUGGCCUAAUCAGCAUUUUUCAAACUGUGCUACAAAGCCCUCUAGAGGUUUCAAAUGUGAGUGAGGAACAACUAAGAUGGUCAGCUCUGGGCUACUGCUGCUCUUUGAUUUAUUUGUUUAAGCCUCCGUAUGUAAGGUUUUGUUUGGAAAUACAAGUUCACCUUCUACAGCAUACUUCAGGGUGGUGGAGGGUGAAGGAAGAUAAUUUUAUAGAAGUCCAGAAAGUUCAGGCCACUGUAGAACCAAGACAACAUCAGCUCCUGCUCCUACUGCACGGUGUAGCCCUGGCUGCAAAGCAGCUGGCGUGGAUGGAGACAUGAGCCGAGAAAAGAGAAAGUUUAUAGGAACUGGCAAGAAUGAGGGAUGAAAAUGGGUCAUAAGUAGCAAUCCCAGGGACACUAUUGGCAAUUAUCAAUCAGGUCCAAACUGCACAAAAUAAAUCUAACUUAGUUUUCUGUAUUAAUGAGGAGAGACAGGGGAAGAAGGAGGGAGCAUGGUCACUAUUUUAGAAUUGGAGACAAGGAUUGGUAAUAGGGAAAGGUAUUGGUAAUAGGGGGUAAUAGGGGCUUAAUUGUACUGUAGGGACAGCAAAAGCAUACUUUCAGGCUAGCAAGAGAGAGGGCCUACAUGUGCCUCAAAAUCCAAAAUGACAUCCCCAAACCUACAAAGAAAAAAAUAUGUAAUUGUGGGAAAUUUUGAAAAUAUAUUACAUUAUGCAAAUUGAAAAGUGUAAGUCCCAGUUGUACUUGUUUGGCGACACAGUGAAAUCCUACUUUUUUUCUGUUUAGAUAUAAAAUAAGCAUCAAAAAAAGAGCCCCACUCCAUCUAAUGGAGAGGACUCUCUCUACCUCCAGGCUAAUUGCCUAGACCAACUUGAAUUCCCUGUUCUCAGCUAAUAAUGGAGAGUGUCAGGGACUGGCUGGGUUAUCCAAGUUGAAGCCAUCAGGCAAUACAUCAGAGAAAAGAAGAGAAUAAAGAGGGCCAGGUCCUCUGUUGUGACUGGAAUAGAGAAUAGCACUACACGAUGGCAUAGAGAAUGUAUCUGGGAAAGCAGAACAAGAAGAUGGGUCUUCCCUCGAGGAAUUCUCAGAAAGUGUCAGCUGGUCAGCCUCUUGCUGUCAACCUGAGGACACUAACAGUCACCCCUUCCAAAAUUCUUCUUCCAUUCUGCCAUCAAUUUGUCAAGGGAUAUGGAGGUUCACCAUUGCGUAUUUCCAGAAGGGAAGAAGAAUGUGUGGAAAGAUUUUUUAUCUUUGCAGUGUGGAAACCUAAAAACACGUGAGGGAGAUGGAAGUUUGGGAAGCUUCUACACAUGCCUGCACCACAGCACAGCCUUGACUGCUGUGUGCUCCAACAGCUGGACAUUUCUGCAAGCAAGCAAACAGAAAUUAAAUACACAAAACAGACAAGCCAGUUGUAUGGUAUGAUGGAAAAACAAUCCCCGGAGCAGGGGGAUCCUGGUUCCUCCACUAGACCAGUGAUAAAAUACUCAACCUCUUUGGGCUUAAAAACUGGGACAAUAAAGAUUGUAAUCCCACAGGAA